ACCCUGCAUGGAGCUGGUGUCCCUCCUGCAGAAGCCUACUCCUCUGCUUGGCCUUUAGAGACACAGUUUGAGGAAGCUCCAGGUCCACAUACCCCUGAUCCACAGAACCAUCAGCAGAGAACACUCUUCCACGCACUGAGGGGAAUGCAUUACCACCAACACUUAGUGAUCCAGACCACUCUCAGAGGAAGAAGAGGUAUCUUUUGGUGUCAGUACAGUGAGACCUUCUUCUAAAAGGUAAAGCAGCACAGAAAAGAAGACCCUGGCAGCAGCACAUGAAUCGGUUCGUUUAAAGGCUGAACCAGGAGUUCUCAAGAACCGUGACUGGCAGACCUUAAAGUUUUAUGUCUAUAACAGCAAAGCUGGUACUCCAGCCAUGUUAUAUGUUUGUUGAAUGCAAUUUCUAUGUUUACUUGUUAAUUUACAAAGCAGUUUCUGAAGUGCUUGUAUGGUUUAUACCUCAGUCUGCUGAUGAAUGUCAAAUUUGAGACUAGCUGGGUUAGCUGGGUUAAUUCUAAAGUUCAUUCAUGCUUUUAAACUUUGACUUUGAUGUCCUGAUUUAUUUUGUAUAAAUACUCCUUAUAUUAGACCUUAUAAUGUCUGCUUUAGCAUUAUCAAUUCUUAUUAAAAACUCUUCUAUAUUACCAAAAAACAAUGCCAACUAGCAACUUUUCCAAUGAAAAGGGUUGAGAACCAUUUUGUUUCAGCUAGAUACUAGUAAAUGUGACAGCAGUGGAUGUAUAUGCUUUAACAUUUUUGUAGUGAAACCUCUAAUACUCUGAGAACAGGUGUGUUUUAAUAAUUGGAGGAUUAUUUCAUUAUGUCCCCAUAAACCACAUAGUAAUGUGUGAGUUAUGCAAAUCAUAUUUAAA